UGGGGAAUAUUGCACAAUGGGCGCAAGCCUGAUGCAGCCAUGCCGCGUGUAUGAAGAAGGCCUUCGGGUUGUAAAGUACUUUCAGCGGGGAGGAAGGGAGUAAAGUUAAUACCUUUGCUCAUUGACGUUACCCGCAGAAGAAGCACCGGCUAACUCCGUGCCAGCAGCCGCGGUAAUACGGAGGGUGCAAGCGUUAAUCGGAAUUACUGGGCGUAAAGCGCACGCAGGCGGUUUGUUAAGUCAGAUGUGAAAUCCCCGGGCUCAACCUGGGAACUGCAGCUGAUACUGGCAAGCUUGAGUCUCGUAGAGGGGGGUAGAAUUCCAGGUGUGGCAGUGAAAUGCGUGGAGAUCUAGAGGAAUACCGGUGGCGAAGGCGGCCCCCUGGACGAAGACUGACGCUCAGGUGCGAAAGCGUGGGGAGCAAACAGG
rnacentral:rRNA from 1 species